GUCAAGUCUUGGCUGUGUUGUACGCAGAGUUUACUCUGUACCAGGACCCUUGUCUCUGGUACAUGUGGACACAAACCACAAGUUAAUCAGAUACAACAUUGUGAUAUUUGGAGGAGUGGAUGGUUUCUCCAGGAAGAUAAUGUACUUGAAUGCAGCCACAAAUAACUGUGCAUCAACGGCAUUUCACUUCUUCCUUGAGGCAACUCACCUGCAUGGUUUACCUUCAAGAGCUGACCAGGGAGUGGAGAACGUGGACAUUGCCCGGUUUAUGUUCACUGUCCGUGGCACUGAUCGGGGAAGCUUCAUCUCGGGAAAAAGUGUGCACAACCAAAGGAUAGAACGAUUAUGGCGAGAUGUGUGGAUCUCAGUAUCAUCGAAGUACUACAAUCUUCUGCACUCCCUUGAAGAAGAUGACCUCUUGGACAUUUCAUGUACAGAUGACAUAUUCUGUGUGCAUUAUGCAAUUCUUCCAAGACUCAAAAGAGACUUGGAGAUAUUCACUGAAGGCUGGAACCACCAUCCACUACGUACUGAGGGAAACCGGAGUCCGACACAGAUUUGGGAAAU